UACAGAGGUCUCAAGCGUUGUUCGGAUUCAUUGGGCGUAAAGGGUGCGUAGGUGGCGGGGUAAGUCAGGUGUGAAAUCUCGGGGCUCAACCCCGAAACUGCACUUGAUACUGCCUUGCUCGAGUACUGGAGAGGAGAUUGGAAUUUACGGUGUAGCAGUGAAAUGCGUAGAUAUCGUAAGGAAGACCAGUGGCGAAGGCGAAUCUCUGGACAGUUACUGACACUGAAGCACGAAAGCCAGGGGAGCAAACGGG
rnacentral:rRNA from 1 species